ACCUUCUCAGGGUCGCACCUGGAGAAUUUCCAAUACUCUACCAGUCUCGGCUAUGGGAGGGAGAGUCAAGCAGAGGCCUACCCUUCCAUUCCUAGCUUGGGCAGUGCCUAGGGAGUGGAAAGCAAUCUGCUACAAGU
rnacentral:snoRNA from 1 species